CCUGGUUGAUCCUGCCAGUAGUCAUAUGCUUGUCUCAAAGAUUAAGCCAUGCUCUAAGUACACACUUUGGUAAAGUGAAACCGCGAAUGGCUCAUUAAAUCAGCUACAAUUUAUUAGAUCGUACACUGUUACUUGGAUAACUGUGGGAAUUCUAGAGCUAAUACAUGCCGAGAGUCUCUGCUCUUCGGGGCAGAGCGCAGUUAUUAGACCAAAACCAGCCGUAUUCUUCGGGGUACGCUCUUUUGGUGACUCUGGAUAACCUUCAGCCGAUCGCAUGGCCUCGUGCCGGCGACGUAUCUUUCAAGUGUCUGCCCUAUCAACUUUCGGUGGUACGUGAUAUGCCUACCAUGGUGAUAACGGGUAACGGGGAAUCAGGGUUCGAUUCCGGAGAGGGAGCCUGAGAAAUGGCUACCACAUCCAAGGAUGGCAGCAGGCGCGCAAAUCACCCACUCCCAGCUUGGGGAGGUAGUGACGAAAAAUAACAAUGCGGGACUCUAAGAGGCCCCGUAAUUGGAAUGAGUACACCUUAAAUCGUUUAACGAGUAUCAAUUGGAGGGCAAGUCUGGUGCCAGCAGCCGCGGCAAUUCCAGCUCCAAUAGCGUAUAUUAAAGUUGCUGCAGUUAAAAAGCUCGUAGUUGGAUCUGGGGCUUGAGGUCGCUGUCUAUCGUUUCGGCGAUGACGGUGAUGCUCAGCUCUGCUUGCCGGUGACUGUUGCGGUGUUCUUCACUGAGCGCUGUAGCAGCACGGCACGUUUACUUUGAAAAAAUUAGAGUGCUCAAAGCGUGCUUGUCGCUUGAAUAAUGUUGCAUGGAAUAAUGGAAUAGGACCUCGGUUCUAUUUUGUUGGUUUUCGGAGCUUGAGGUAAUGAUUAAGAGGGACGAACGGGGGCAUUCGUAUUGCGGUGUUAGAGGUGAAAUUCUUGGAUCGCCGCAAGACGGACUACUGCGAAAGCAUUUGCCAAGAACGCUUUCAUUAAUUAAGAACGAAAGUCAGAGGUUCGAAGACGAUCAGACACCGUCCUAGUUCUGACCAUAAACGAUGCCGACCAGCGAUCCGUAUUGGUUGCUUUAUGGACCCUACGGGCAGCCUCCGGGAAACCAAAGUAUCUGGGUUCCGGGGGAAGUAUGGUUGCAAAGCUGAAACUUAAAGGAAUUGACGGAAGGGCACACCAGGAGUGGAGCCUGCGGCUUAAUUUGACCCAACACGGGAAAACUCACCCGGUCCGGACACCGUAAGGAUUGACAGACUGAUAGCUCUUUCUUGAUUCGGUGGAUGGUGGUGCAUGGCCGUUCUUAGUUGGUGGAGUGAUUUGUCUGGUUAAUUCCGAUAACGAACGAGACUCUAGCCUGCUAAGUAGUGUUGCUAUUGUUAUAUGGUUGACACUUCUUAGAGGGACAAGUGGCAUUUAGCCACGCGAAAUUGAGCAGUAACAGGUCUGUGAUGCCCUUAGAUGUCCGGGGCCGCACGCGCGCUACACUGGAGAAGUCAGCGUGUGUUAUCCAAGUCCGAAAGGACUGGGUAAUCCGUUGAACCUUCUUCGUGCUUGGGACUGUGGCUUGGAACUAUUCCACAUGAACGAGGAAUUCCUAGUAAUUGCAAGUCAUAAGCUUGCGUUGAUUACGUCCCUGCCCUUUGUACACACCGCCCGUCGCUACUACCGAUUGAAUGGUUUAGCAAGGUCCUCGGAUCGUGGCCGUAGGGGCACGCAAGUGUUUCUGCGGUUUGCGAGAAGAUGACCAAACUUGAUCAUUUAGAGGAAGUAAAAGUCGUAACAAGGUU
rnacentral:rRNA from 1 species